UGAUCCCAUGCCGAACUCAGAAGUGAAACGCCGUAGCGCCGAUGGUAGUGUGGGGUCUCCCCAUGCGAGAGUAGGGAACUGCCAGGC
rnacentral:rRNA from 1 species